rnacentral:rRNA from 1 species
CCUACGGGAGACAGCAGUGAGGAAUAUUGGUCAAUGGCCGUAAGGCUGAACCAGCGAAGUCGCGUGAAGGAAGAAGGAUCUAGGGUUUGUAAACUUCUUUUAUAGGGGAAUAAAGGUAUCCACUUGUGGAUAUUUGCAUGUACCCUAUGAAUAAGCAUCGGCUAACGCCGUGCCAGCAGCCGCGGUAAUACGGAGGAUGCGAGCGUUGUCCGGAUUUAUUGGGGUUAAAGGGUGCGUAGGCUGUUUUUUAAGUCAGUGGUGAAAGUUUGUGGCUCAACCAUAAGAUUGCCGUUGAAACUGGACGACUUGAGUGUGUUAGAGGUAGGCGGAAUGCGUGGUGUAGCGGUGAAAUGCAUAGAUAUCACGAAGAACUCCGAUUGCGAAGGCAGCUUACUAAGCCAUAACUGACACUGAAGCACGAAAGCGUGGGGAUCAAACAGGAUUAGAUACCCGGGUAGUC